rnacentral:rRNA from 1 species
GAUGAACGCUGGCGGCGUGCCUAAUACAUGCAAGUCGAGCGAACAGACGAUGAGCUUGCUCCUCUGACGUUAGCGGCGGACGGGUGAGUAACACGUGGAUAACCUACCUAUAAGACUGGUAUAACUUCGGGAAACCGGAUCUAAUACCGGAUAAUAUAUUGAACCGCAUGGUUCAAUAGUGAAAGACGGUUUUGCUGUCACUUAUAGAUGGAUCCGCGCCGCAUUAGCUAGUUGGUAAGGUAACGGCUUACCAAGGCAACGAUGCGUAGCCGACCUGAGAGGGUGGUAGGCCACACUGGAACUGAGACACGGUCAAGACUCCUACGGGAGGCAGCAGUAGGGAAUCUUCCGCAAUGGGCGAAAGCAUGACGGAGCAACGGCGAGUGAGUGAUGAAGGUCUUCGGAUCGUAAAACUCUGUUAUUAGGGAAGAACAAAUGUGUAAGUAAAUAUGGACGUAUUGACGGUACCUAAUAAGAAAGCACCGGCUAACUACGUG